CCUUAAUUAAUCCAUGAUUAAUCCUUAAUUAAUCAAUGAUUAUCCCUUAAUUAAUUCAUGAUUAAUUCUUAAUUAAUCAACCAUAUUCAAUAUGCAAUCAUGCAUACUCAUUCACAAUUCAUUCAUCAUCUAUCUAGAAUCACCUUUAAAUCCAUGAGAUUGGCUAAGGAAGACUAGACUCGAGCUCAAGCUAAUCACACUUCACUUCUGGAUCAGUCUCGGUUCAGAACCAUCACAAGGAGCCGGCUGAUCCGAAUACUAUCCUUGGCCAUCUGAAUUCAAAACAUAAAAGUUGGAACAUAAGGUUCACUUGUCUGGUUCAAGAAGAAACUCAACUCAG
rnacentral:lncRNA from 1 species